AGCAGCCGCGGUAAUUCCAGCUCCAAUAGCGUAUAUUAAAGUUGUUGCAGUUAAAAAGCUCGUAGUUGAAUUUCGGGAUCAAUUUAUCGGUCGUGCCUAUGGUAUGAACUGGUACAAUUGGUUUCUCCCUUCUGACGAAGCAUGAUGUCAUUAAUUUGGUGUCGUGGGGAAUCAGGACUGUUACUUUGAAAAAAUUAGAGUGUUUAAAGCAAGCAUUAGCUUGAAUACAUUAGCAUGGAAUAAUGAAAUAGGACGUUUGAUCCUAUUUCGUUGGUUUCUAGGAUCGACGUAAUGAUUAAUAGGGAUAGUUGGGGGCAUUAGUAUUCAAUUGUCAGAGGUGAAAUUCUUGGAUUUAUUGAAGACUAACUACUGCGAAAGCAUUUGCCAAGGAUGUUUUCAUUAAUCAAGAACGAAAGUUAGGGGAUCGAAGACGAUCAGAUACCGUCGUGGUCUUAACCAUAAACUAUGCCGACUAGGGAUCGGAUGAUGUUAAUUUUUUAAUGACUCA
rnacentral:rRNA from 1 species